rnacentral:rRNA from 1 species
GAUGAACGCUGGCGGCGUGCCUAAUACAUGCAAGUCGAGCGAACAGAUAAGGAGCUUGCUCCUUUGACGUUAGCGGCGGACGGGUGAGUAACACGUGGGUAACCUACCUAUAAGACUGGAAUAACUCCGGGAAACCUGGGCUAAUGCCGGAUAACAUUUAGAACAGCAUGGUUCUAAAGUGAAUGAUGGUUUUGCUAUCACUUAUAGAUGGACCCGCGCCGUAUUAUCUAGUUGGUAAGGUAACGGCUUACCAAGGCAACGAUACGUAGCCGACCUGAGAGGGUGAUCGGCCACACUGGAACUGAGACACGGUCAAGACUCCUACGGGAGGCAGCAGUAGGGAAUCUUCCGCGAUGGGCGAAAGCAUGACGGAGCAACGCCGCGUGAGUGAUGAAGGUCUUCGGAUCGUAAAACUCUGUUAUUAGGGAAGAACAAAUGUGUAAGUAACUGUGCACGUCUUGACGGUACCUAAUCAGAAAGCCACGGCUAACUACGUG